rnacentral:lncRNA from 1 species
AGUAGGUUCUUUAUCAAUGCUAAAAGAAGAUCAGUGUUUAGGCUUCUUUCAUGUGCCUCAUCGACUAUGAUGCAUGAAAUCUUGGACAAAUUCUUGUCACCCAUAUAGUGCUGCAGUAGGCAGUGAUCUGUCAUAAAAAUUAUCUUUGAAUCAAACUGUUGACAAGACGAAUAUGAUGGAUUGCAGGUAACUGAAUUAUUAUUGUAACACCCCUGUCUUGUCACCCAUAUAGUGCUGUAGUAGGCAGUGAUCUGUCAUAAACAUUAUCUUUGAAUCAAACUGUUGACAAGACGAAUAUGAUGGAUUGCAGGUAACUGAAUUAUCAUCAUAACACCCCUG